rnacentral:rRNA from 1 species
CCUACGGGAGGCAGCAGUGAGGAAUAUUGGUCAAUGGACGAGAGUCUGAACCAGCCAAGUAGCGUGAAGGAUGACUGCCCUAUGGGUUGUAAACUUCCUUUAUAUGGGAAUAAAAUGUUCCACGUGUGGGAUUUUGUAUGUACCCUAUGAAUAAGGAUCGGCUAACUCCGUGCCAGCAGCCGCGGUAAUACGGAGGAUCCGAGCGUUAUCCGGAUUUAUUGGGGUUAAAGGGAGCGUAGGUGGAUUUUUAAGUCAGUUGUGAAAGUUUGCGGCUCAACCGUAAAAUUGCAGUUGAAACUGGCAGUCGUGAGUACAGUAGAGGUGGGCGGAAUUCGUGGUGUAGCGGUGAAAUGCUUAGAUAUCACGAAGAACUCCGAUUGCGAAGGCAGCUCACUGGACUGCAACUGACACGGAGGCUCGAAAGUGUGGGUAUCAAACAGGAUUAGAUACCCCGGUAGUC